GCGAGUAGGGCUUCCCUUCAUUCGAUCAUUCCGAUGCCAACGCCGCUGCCGCUGCCGCCCCCUCGUCCUCUUCCUUCACAUAACUGCCGUACGCAGUAUCUGUCGCUGCCCUAGCCUUCUUGUUUGCAAGUCCCAGGGGCCUGCCGUCCGAGUUCAAAUCCAACUUCACCAGAUUGGAGGUAUCAUGAGUAUUCAUUAAUAUAGCUGUUCCUGAUCGUUAAAAAGAAUGGCCAGUGCUUCGGUUCAGCCCACCACCCUUCCCGUUGUAGGUGCUUGUAGGAGCCAAUGGCAGCUUCAGAGAUCUGGGAAGGCUAGAAGGCCUUGCAAUAAGAUGUGCCAUCUGCAACCAUAUUUUCCAAGUUUGAGAGGCUUUAUGGGCUUGCAAAUAACGGAUAAUUUGAAAUUUUUAUCAAGAUCUGUGUGUGGUCUUCAUUGUGUGGUCUCAGGGUAUGUCUAUAACCAACUGGGAAAAGCUAGGCAGGGAGUCACUGCAGCCAUGCUUGACCUCUUCACAGAGAAGGCAAUCAAGGUUAUCAUCCUUGCCCAAGAAGAAGCAAGACGGCUAGGCCAUAAAUAUGUUGGGACAGAACAAAUAUUGGAUGCUCUUAUUGGUGAAGGCACUGAUGUCACUGUAAAUGAUUUAAAAUCAGUGAGAAACAAUCCUAAAGAUGCACAUGUUCAAAAGGUUAUUCGAGGGGGAAGGAAAUUUGUAGCUGAUAUGCCAUUUUCACCGCAAGCAAAGCAUGUCUUAGAACUUUCGUUGAAGGAAGCUCGUCAACUUGGUCAUAACUAUAUAGGAUUGGAGCACUUGCUUAUUGGGUUACUUCGUGGGGUUGAAGGUAUAGCUACUUAUGUGCUUGAGAAUUAUGGAGUUGAUCCAAGCAACAUAAAUACUCAGGUUUGUGAAUUAUGGAGCCAGGAUACAAAGCUAAAAGCUCAGAUAACUUCUCUAGUUGACAAGGAAAAAGAGAGAAACCAAGUAAAGAUUAAGGCAGUUUCUUCAGAUCUAGUUGUGACAGAAGCGGACAUGAAACAAACUGCAUCUUCUUGGACUGAACUUUCUGUGGAGAAUGUCAUGCACAAAGAGUCUGACCACUUCAUAAGCCACAACAUCCAAACCCACAAAAUCCCUUCUUCCUUCACCAAAAUCCCUUCAUGGGUGUCAUUGCGUUCCUCCCUCUCCCCUUCUCCCUCUUUCCAAGCCCAACAGGAGAAUGGCCUCCUUGAGAGCCUCCACAUUCUUUCCCUUACCAACCAGGGCAGAUUUCAUGAAGCACGGGAGUUCCUUGGUUUCAUGGACUCCUCAGGCAUCUGCAUAAAGCCCCAUGUUUACCAAUCACUCUUUACAGCUUGCGGCACCUGGAAAUCCCUGGAUGAUGGACGAUUCUUCCACCGUCACAUGCUGAAGAGGAUCAGAAAUAGAAACCUGGAUGCUUCCCUUGCUGAUUGCCUCCUUAAGAUGUACUUUGACUGUUCAGGUCUUGAUGAUGCUUGUAAAGUUUUCAAGGAAAUGUCUAGUAGGAUGUUGAGUAGUUGGAGCAUUAUGAUAUGUGGUUUUGCUCGCAGUGGGUAUCUUCAAGAAGCCAUUCAACUUUUCUCUAAAAUGAAAAUUGAAGGACUUGACCCGGAUAUGACAGUUUUUGCCAACUUGUUGCGUACAUGCUCGAAUGACUUAGAGUUCGAGCUUGGCAAACAGAUUCAUUCGUACAUGAUAAGAAUUGGGUUCGUAUCUGAUGUCUUCUCUGAUACAGAGCUUGUUAAUAUGUAUGCUAAAUGUGGGUGCUUGGAUACCUCAGCUCUUCUUUUAGAUCGCAUGGUGGAGAGGAAUGCUGUGUCUUGGACUAGUCUGAUGGUUGGCUAUACCCAGGUUGAGAGGCAGUAUGAGGCGUUGGUCUUGUUUAAGCGGAUGAUGUGGGAAGGCACAGAGUUAGAUCAGUUUGUGUUCUCAAUCAUCCUCAAGGCAUGUUCUGAGAUGGAGAAUUGGGAGGCAGGGAGGCAAGUUCAUGGGUGCAUUAUCAAAUUGGGGAUGGAUUCUGAUGUCUCAGCAGGAACACCUAUUGUUAACUUUUAUGUCAAGUGUGGGAAUAUAUUUGAAGCUCAAAAUGCCUUUGAUAGGAUCUGUCAACCUAAUGAGGUUUCAUGGAGUGCUAUUAUUGCUGGUUAUUCCCAAGUGGGUAGAUAUGAGGAGUGCUUCCGGAUGUUCAGAUACUUGAGGAGUAGAAAAAUGACACGAAAUUCAUUCAUAUAUUCUAGCCUUUUUCAAGCGUCUUCUGCAUUAACUGAUUCCAGUUCUGGUAGUCAAUUGCAUGCUGAUGCAAUAAAGAGAGGGCUCGUCUCCAACCUUGUUGGUGAUAGUGCUUUGGUUACCAUGUAUGCAAGAUGUGGUAAUUUGGAUUAUGCACGUAGGGCUUUUGAGUUGAUUGCUGAACCUGAUACUGUCGCUUGGACAGCUAUUAUUGCAGGAUGUUCUUAUCAUGGUCAGGCUUUGGAAGCUCUGGAUCUUUUCAAUAAGAUGCUCAGUUGUCAGGUUAAGCCAAAUUCCAUCACAUUUACUGGUAUUUUGAAUGCAUGUAGUCAUACUGGAUUGGUUUCUUUGGCAAGAGAAUAUUUAGAUUCAAUGUAUAGGGUUUAUGGUGUGGAAGCAACUUCUGAUCAUUUUAACUGUAUGAUUGAUGUUUACUGUCGUGCUGGCUAUUUGGAAAGGGCGUAUGAAUUAAUCAGAUCUGGUUCCUUCCAACCUGAUGCUCUAAGUUGGAAGAUGUUGUUGAGUGGAUGCACCACUUAUCAAAAUGUGGAUCUUGGGAAGGUUGCAGGGGAGAAUCUUCUUAGUAUGGAUCCCAAUGAUGCUGCCGCCUAUAUCCUCAUAUUUAACAUGUAUGCUGCAGCAGGUAGGUGGGUGGAGGCGGCCUCAGUUAGAAGGAUGAUGAAUGGAAGACGUAUUAAGAAGGAAGUUAGUUGCAGUUGGAUAACAGUUAAGGGUAGUGUUCAUAGAUUCAUUGUGGGAGAUAAACAUCAUCCUUUAACCAAACAAAUAUAUUGCAAAUUAGAUGAAUUGGACAGACAAAUAAUGGUAUCUGAAUCCAAUGUCACAACAGACAGAAACUCGAAUGUCUUGCACAAAGAGCGUAUGGAGCAGCUUCUUGACCACAGUGAGAGGCUAGCAAUUGCCUUUGGGCUUAUAUCGGUACCAACAUGUUGCCCAAUUUUGGUCUUCAAAAAUCUUCGUGUUUGUAAUGAGUGUCAUUCUUUUACAAAGAUGGUGUCCAAAGUAACUGGGCGUGAGAUAAUUGUAAGGGACUCAAGUCGAUUCCAUCAUUUUAAAAAUGGAAGGUGUUCUUGUAAUGACUUUUGGUGACCACAGUAAAAAUUAUCAGUAUAGGAGAUGAAAAUACUGGAAGGUGUUUUGACCAAAAUGGGGACGCCUCGAGCUUCCAUGGGAGAUCAGAGAACUUGUCGAAUUGCUCAAGGAGAUUACAGAAGAGAACAAGGUAUUCUGCAGCCAUGAUUUGAAAAGAUCUGUCUCAUCUUUUCAAUCAGGGCUCAAAAUCCAUUCCAAGUGCCGAUCUGUUUGGUCACAGUACAGAAGACCCUGGGCUGAUCAUGACUGCUGCUGACAUCAUCAACCAUAUAUCUUUCCAGGUUCAUUUUUGAAAGUGAUAUGUAAUUCAAUUUUCUGACUAAUUAUUUUUCAAUAUUAAUUUAGAUCAGGAAUAUAUCUUAGAGGAAUUUCAUGAAUAUCCAAAAGAAUGAUUUAUACACGGAGAGAGCUUUCCUAACAUUUGCUAUGAGAAUUCUUCAACUUUUUUUUACGAGAAUCACAUUAUGUUGAUUUACUUUCAGGGUCUCUGCAUAUUUAGAAAUGUACUGCCAGUGUUUUGCAAGAUAUGUUCUCAUCCAUAAGAAUUACCUUGGGUGCCACUUGCAUUUCUAGGCAGCACAGGAUACAUCCUUCCUAAAGAACAUAGCUGGAUCUCCAGCUUCCAUCCUUAUCAAUGCUGUCGAAGACAAUCCCUCAAGUGUGUCGCAUAGGAUCUAGUGACAUGCAGUAUCAAUGGCUGGCUGCUCAUCCACACAGAUUAGUUUGAACAUCUCAAGUUAUAAGCUUUAAAAGCACAGCUUCAUUCUUUCCCCCUGAAGAUAUUAUUGUACAUUUCCUAUUCACAUUCAAUCUAUUA